rnacentral:rRNA from 1 species
UAACCUGCCUAUCAGAGGGGGAUAACAUUCGGAAACGGAUGCUAAAACCGCAUAGGUCUUCGAACCGCAUGGUUUGAAGAGGAAAGAGGCGCAAGCUUCUGCUGAUGGAUGGACCCGCGGUGCAUUAGCUAGUUGGUGAGGUAACGGCUCACCAAGGCCGUGAUGCAUAGCCGACCUGAGAGGGUGAUCGGCCACAUUGGGACUGAGACACGGCCCAA